UUUUUCUGGUGCUUGCACUAGAAAAACUUAGCGGCGAACGGGUGAGUAACACGUAAAGAACCUGCCUCAUAGACGGGGACAACUAUUGGAAACGAUAGCUAAUACCGGAUAACAGCAUAAAUCACAUGAUAUAUGUUUAAAAGUUGGUUUCGGCUAACACUAUGAGAUGGCUUUGCGGUGCAUUAGCUAGUUGGUGGGGUAAAGGCCUACCAAGGCGACGAUGCAUAGCCGACCUGAGAGGGUGAUCGGCCACACUGGGACUGAGACACGGCCCAGACUCCUACGGGAGGCAGCAGUAGGGAAUCUUCCGCAAUGGGCGAAAGCCUGACGGAGCAACGCCGCGUGAGUGAAGAAGGAUUUCGGUUCGUAAAGCUCUGUUGUUAGGGAAGAAUGAUUGUAUAGUAACUAUAUACAGUAGAGACGGUACCUAACCAGAAAGCCACGGCUAACUACGUGCCAGCAGCCGCGGUAAUACGUAGGUGGCAAGCGUUGUCCGGAAUUAUUGGGCGUAAAGCGCGCGCAGGUGGUUUAAUAAGUCUGAUGUGAAGCCCACGGCUCAACCGUGGAGGGUCAUUGGAAACUGUUAAACUUGAGUGCAGGAGAGAAAAGUGGAAUUCCUAGUGUAGCGGUGAAAU
rnacentral:rRNA from 1 species